GUCUAUGGCCAUGCCACCCUGAACAAGCCCGAUGGCUGAUCUCGGAAGCUAAGCAGGGUCAGGCCUGGUUAGUACUUGGAUGGGAAACCACCUAGGAAGACCAGAUGCUGUAGGCA
rnacentral:rRNA from 1 species